rnacentral:ncRNA from 1 species
GAGAGCCGGAUGCGCCGAAAGGUGCAAGUCCGGUUCGGAGAAGGGCGUUACCGUCAAACUGUCGGCCAUAUGGCCGAUGGGUCGGGUGGCGCCUAUUCUAC